rnacentral:rRNA from 1 species
GAUGAGCGCUGGCGGCGUGCCUAAUACAUGCAAGUCGAACGCGCAGCGAAAGGUGCUUGCACCUUUCAAGCGAGUGGCGAACGGGUGAGUAACACGUGGAUAACCUGCCUCAAGGCUGGGGAUAACAUUUGGAAACAGAUGCUAAUACCGAAUAAAACUUAGUAUCGCAUGAUACAAAGUUAAAAGGCGCUACGGCGUCACCUAGAGAUGGAUCCGCGGUGCAUUAGUUAGUUGGUGGGGUAAAGGCUUACCAAGACGAUGAUGCAUAGCCGAGUUGAGAGACUGAUCGGCCACAUUGGGACUGAGACACGGCCCAAACUCCUACGGGAGGCUGCAGUAGGGAAUCUUCCACAAUGGGCGAAAGCCUGAUGGAGCAACGCCGCGUGUGUGAUGAAGGCUUUCGGGUCGUAAAGCACUGUUGUAUGGGAAGAACAGCUAGAAUAGGAAAUGAUUUUAGUUUGACGGUACCAUACCAGAAAGGGACGGCUAAAUACGUGCCAGCCGCCGCAGUAA